rnacentral:rRNA from 1 species
AGAGUUUGAUCAUGGCUCAGAAUCAACGCUGGCGGCGCGCUUAACACAUGCAAGUCGAACGAGAAAGGGGAGCAAUCCCUGAGUACAGUGGCGGACGGGUGAGUAACGCGUAGGUAUCUAUCUCCGGGUGGGGGACAACUGUGGGAAACUACAGCUAAUACCGCAUGAUGCCCGAGGGCCAAAGGCGCAAGUCGCCUGGAGAGGAGCCUGCGUACGAUUAGCUUGUUGGCGGGGUAAAGGCCCACCAAGGCGACGAUCGUUAGCUGGUCUGAGAGGAUGAUCAGCCACGCUGGGACUGAGACACGGCCCAGACUCCUACGGGAGGCAGCAGUGGGGAAUAUUGGACAAUGGGCGCAAGCCUGAUCCAGCAAUGCCGCGUGAGUGAAGAAGGUCUUCGGAUUGUAAAGCUCUUUCGACGGGGACGAUGAUGACGGUACCCGUAGAAGAAGCCCCGGCUAACUUCGUGCCAGCAGCCGCGGUAAUACGAAGGGGGCUAGCGUUGCUCGGAAUGACUGGGCGUAAAGGGCGCGUAGGCGGUUCGUACAGUCAGACGUGAAAUUCCCGGGCUCAACCUGGGGGCUGCGUUUGAUACGUACGGGCUUGAGUUCGGAAGAGGGUCGUGGAAUUCCCAGUGUAGAGGUGAAAUUCGUAGAUAUUGGGAAGAACACCGGUGGCGAAGGCGGCGACCUGGUCCGAUACUGACGCUGAGGCGCGAAAGCGUGGGGAGCAAACAGGAUUAGAUACCCUAGUAGUCC